rnacentral:rRNA from 1 species
UCCGAACCCGGAAGCUAAGCUUCUCAGCGCCGAUGGUACUGCAAGGGGGACUUUGUGGGAGAGUAGGACGCCGCCGAAC